GGGCCCGCACAAGCGGUGGAGCAUGUGGCUUAAUUCGAUGCAACGCGAAGAACCUUACCUGGAUUUGACAUGGGAGUGGUAGGAGCCUGAAAGGGUGACGACCCCGCAAGGGGAGCUUUCACAGGUGCUGCAUGGCUGUCGUCAGCUCGUGUCGUGAGAUGUUCGGUUAAGUCCGGCAACGAGCGCAACCCUCGCUCUUAGUUACCAGCGGUUAAAGCCGGGGACUCUAAGAGGACAAACCCGUUAAGGGUGGGAAGGUGGGGAUGACGUCAAGUCAGCAUGGCCCUUACAUUCAGGGCUGCACACGUGCUACAAUGGCUGGUACAAUGGGAAGCAAUACCGCGAGGUGGAGCGAAUCCUGAAAGCCCAGUCCCAGUUCAGAUUGGAGUCUGCAACUCGACUCCAUGAAGUUGGAAUCGCUAGUAAUGGCGUAUCAGCAACGACG
rnacentral:rRNA from 1 species